rnacentral:tRNA from 1 species
UCCCUGAUGGUCCAGUGGUUAAGAUUCUGCCUGCCAGUGCAGCGGACGUGGGUUCGAUUCCUGCUCCAGGAA